UGGGGAAUAUUGGACAAUGGGCGAAAGCCUGAUCCAGCGACGCCGCGUGGGUGAAGAAGGCCUGCGGGUUGUAAAGCCCUUUCAGUGGGGAAGAAAAGCCUCGUUCUAAUACAACGGGGUCUUGACGUAACCCAUAGAAGAAGCACCGGCUAACUCUGUGCCAGCAGCCGCGGUAAUACAGAGGGUGCGAGCGUUAAUCGGAAUUACUGGGCGUAAAGCGCGCGUAGGCGGCUUUGCAAGUCGGAUGUGAAAUCCCCAGGCUUAACCUGGGAACUGCAUUCGAGACUGCAUUGCUAGAGUAUGGGAGAGGGAAGUGGAAUUUCCGGUGUAGCGGUGAAAUGCGUAGAUAUCGGAAGGAACAUCAGUGGCGAAAGCGACUUCCUGGACCAAUACUGACGCUCAUGUGCGAAAGCGUGGGGAGCAAA
rnacentral:rRNA from 1 species